GUCGUGGUGGCCACUAACCUCCAGGCUGCUGCUGUGAGAUGGUGACUGCAGAGGGAGGGAGCUCAGACCCAGCAGCAAUGGGUCGUGGUCAGCAUUCCUUCCUGGCUCCGUUCCGACGGGCGUCAUUCCUCCAUCCUGCAUGGCAGCGUCAGCUGCUGUGAUCGCGGAGCAUAGGUUAUUCCGUCACAUGUAAAAGUUGUUGGCAGGUCAGUGACCAACCCAGCACUUCUCCUACAGCGCCCUGUCCUGCGGGUAAUGUCUGUGUCGCUACCUACACCUUCAUUUCAGUAGUGCCGGCUGUGAACUCACAGAAGAAUGGCCUGACCUGUCGCACCUGCACAUCGGACGCCUCUGACUAUUGCUACACGCCUGACACUUUAUCAUGCACUGGACAAGAGGUAAAG